GAUGAACGCUGGCGGCGUGCCUAAUACAUGCAAGUCGAGCGAACGGACGAGAAGCUUGCUUCUCUGAUGUUAGCGGCGGACGGGUGAGUAACACGUGGAUAACCUACCUAUAAGACUGGGAUAACUUCGGGAAACCGGAGCUAAUACCGGAUAAUAUUUUGAACCGCAUGGUUCAAAAGUGAAAGACGGUCUUGCUGUCACUUAUAGAUGGAUCCGCGCUGCGUUAGCUAGUUGGUAAGGUAACGGCUUACCAAGGCAACGAUGCAUAGCCGACCUGAGAGGGUGAUCGGCCACACUGGAACUGAGACACGGUCCAGACUCCUACGGGAGGCAGCAGUAGGGAAUCUUCCGCAAAGGGCGAAAGCCUGACGGAGCAACGCCGCGUGAGUGAUGAAGGUCUUCGGAUCGUAAAACUCUGUUAUUAGGGAAGAACAUAUGUGUAAGUAACUGUGCACAUCUUGACGGUACCUAAUCAGAAAGCCACGGCUAACUACGUG
rnacentral:rRNA from 1 species